GCCUUGUGUGUUGAUUCCGUGUCUUAAAAGCGGAUCAUAAACUUUUAUUAAAAAAGAAAAAGAUCAUAAAUUAGGUUUUUAUUGUAUGUAACGCACAGGUAGGUGCUUUUCAUUGGGUUUUCAUUCAUGUUCCAAUUAACAUCUCAUCAUGUUCCUGAGUAAUUUUUUCCACUUACUUCCAUAUUCCAUAACGUAUCAUAUGCCCUUUAUGCCUUUCUAUUCUCUCUUCAAUAGAAGAAGGUAUUCUCAAUCCAUAUUGAAUUUUGCAUGCUUCUCAAAAAAAAACACGCUCAUCCUCAUUAAUCGGAUCCUCUCUAUAUAAUGGCUAAUUCCAAUGGAGAUCAUCAUCAGUUCCAAUCGAACAUGUUUAUUAGGUUUCUGAUGGAUUUUGUUUUCCACGGGAUGGAAGAGUUAUGAAGUAGUUGUUCUGCAUGGGAUGGUGAAUACCAUGUUUCAGAGAUUGCUGGUGCGGAUGCACAAGUCAUACAGAUGCAGUAAAAUGAGUGUCCAGUUGACUAAAGCCAAAGUAAGCUAAAGCGUUUUGAUCUGAUGAGAAAUGGGGGCAGGGUAGGGUGGGCGAUAUUUUUCGAUGACCAGAUGUGCAUUCAGAUUUAUUUGUUGAAGGAUGUUGUAAGCUAUAUCUUUCAAGCUCGAAUUGAUAUCAUGCUUGACUAUUUAACGAGGUAUAGUAAAAGCAGCAUGAAAUACUUUUAGAGGGUUUACCAUUUUGUUUAUUGUUUUGUUAACUCUGGACCAUCAUGUUUCCAUAGUUCUGUAACUUAGGAUCAUUAUCAACAUUUUCAGGCAAGCCUUGGUAAUGCAGUUUUCAUGGUGUCAAGUUUAACUUUGCAUGACCGGUAGCUUCUCUAUACCCCUGACUGGCCUAUAGAAAUUUUGUCAAUGCAAUUACGAAAACUUCUCAAGUAGGAUUGGUUCCAUUGUAUCCUCAUCCAAUAGGAAGAGAAAGGCCGGACAUAAAAAUUCGUCUUGGAUGACGUAAAUCUAGCCUCUGGAAUUUCUGGAACUCACCACUCCAAAAUCAUUUCGUUGGUCUUUAAGUAACUGUGUAGUACAUCUUUAUUUUGGGAAGGAUGGCAUCAACUAUUUGUUUUACAGGAACAAUCAAUUUCGACUGUCAUAACUUCGAUGGCAAACAUGUUACCUCAGGUUUGCUUCCAUUUCAUAUAUCAACUUUAUGGAUUCAAUUUCGAGGAAUGAUAACUUUAUAUGGUUAAUUUGUUGAUGUCUUUUCACAUAUAUUCUUGCCGGUACAGCUCAGUUGAAAUUGCUAUUAUUUUUUCAUAUUAAUUUGCAAGAAAAAUUUACAGAACAUUCAUUUUCCCUUGAUUUAGAAUGCUUUUCCUAGAAGGAAAUAAAAAAAAAAGGUACCUUAGAUGCUUUUAAGAUAACUUUAAAAAAAAAUUGUUGUUUGUCACGUUGAUUCAGAAGAUGAAGAUUUGGCGAAGUCUACUAGGAUAUGUUGUGUAUUUCUCUUUUAUAUAUUUGUAUUACAACAGUUUUAAGCUUCAAUGUUUAUGCGAGUGUUCUUCUUAUCUCAUCUGAAGCUACUAUCCGAGAAGCUUACAAAACAUCUUUAUAGUUUUCCGCAGAAAUAUCUUCUUUAGCAAUGGGCAGUUGCUGCUGUUGAUGACGAGAAGUUGCUGAAUGAUGCCAUUAGAUCUUUAAGUUCGCACCAUUUUUUGUUUGAUAAACUUUUGUUGCUAUAUUAUUUGGAAUUGGCAAAAAAGUGACGUUAGGUUACAUGGUAGGUCCUACAGUACCUGUUGGAUGGGAAUUCUGUAGGUCCUUGGACUACUAUCCGCCAGGUGCUCCACUUUCUUUAUUUCAUUUAGUAUUGUAUGGAAUUUGGAAAUAUGUGGGUAUUUAGAGCAGAUAAUAUCUUCUUUUUUUUUUUGAAAAUAAAUGGAUUUAUAUUAAUAAAUCAUUUGCCAA